UACAAGGAGAGAGGACCCAAACAGGGUUGC
rnacentral:piRNA from 1 species